rnacentral:rRNA from 1 species
GACGAACGCUGGCGGCGUGCUUAACACAUGCAAGUCGAACGGAAAGGCCCUGCUUGCAGGGUACUCGAGUGGCGAACGGGUGAGUAACACGUGGGUGAUCUGCCCUGCACUUCGGGAUAAGCCUGGGAAACUGGGUCUAAUACCGGAUAGGAGCCAUUUUUAGUGUGAUGGUUGGAAAGUUUUUUCGGUGUAGGAUGAGCUCGCGGUCUAUCAGCUUGUUGGUGGGGUAAUGGCCUACCAAGGCGGCGACGGGUAGCCGGCCUGAGAGGGUGGACGGCCACAUUGGGACUGAGAUACGGCCCAGACUCCUACGGGAGGCAGCAGUGGGGAAUAUUGCACAAGGGGCGCAAGCCUGAUGCAGCGACGCCGCGUGGGGGAUGACGGCCUUCGGGUUGUAAACUCCUUUCGCUAGGGACGAAGCUUUUUGUGACGGUACCUAGAUAAGAAGCACCGGCUAACUACGUG